GGCAGCAGUGGGGAAUAUUGGACAAUGGGCGCAAGCCUGAUCCAGCCAUACCGCGUGGGUGAAGAAGGCCUUCGGGUUGUAAAGCCCUUUUGUUGGGAAAGAAAUCCAGCCGGCUAAUACCUGGUUGGGAUGACGGUACCCAAAGAAUAAGCACCGGCUAACUUCGUGCCAGCAGCCGCGGUAAUACGAAGGGUGCAAGCGUUACUCGGAAUUACUGGGCGUAAAGCGUGCGUAGGUGGUUAUUUAAGUCCGUUGUGAAAGCCCUGGGCUCAACCUGGGAACUGCAGUGGAUACUGGAUGACUAGAAUGUGGUAGAGGGUAGCGGAAUUCCUGGUGUAGCAGUGAAAUGCGUAGAGAUCAGGAGGAACAUCCAUGGCGAAGGCAGCUACCUGGACCAACAUUGACACUGAGGCACGAAAGCGUGGGGAGCAAACAGGAUUAGAUACCCUGGUAGUCCACGCCCUAAACGAUGCGAACUGGAUGUUGGGUGCAAUUUGGCACGCAGUAUCGAAGCUAACGCGUUAAGUUCGCCGCCUGGGGAGUACGGUCGCAAGACUGAAACUCAAAGGAAUUGACGGGGGCCCGCACAAGCGGUGGAGUAUGUGGUUUAAUUCGAUGCAACGCGAAGAACCUUAC
rnacentral:rRNA from 1 species